rnacentral:lncRNA from 1 species
GCACUGUACAGCUGUAUCAGCUGCUCGUAGGACAUGUCCAGCAGCUAGCUGCUCGAGGUCCACGCCGCAGCAGGUGAACUUGCGGAAGGUGAUACAUCCUCUUCGCAGACAGCAGAAAAACAUCAGAUUUGUGAUUUAAUUGGGAGUUUUCUGGGAUCGAACAGUGGCUUCGUUUACAGCCUUCUCUCCGCUGCUGAAAUGCAGACGUGACAGCUUGAGCCAGAGGGUGCCAGCCAGUGCCAUGAUGUGACCAAGGCCAUCAACAGCAGAGCCGCAAGGGAGCAGGAGCCUUGGUCCCUGAGGACAUGCUGGAGCUAACUUGGGAAUCCUGAGGUGGCCACCUCCAAAAUGUUACAUGAAAGAGAAAAGUAAACAUCUAACUUGCUUAAGCUGCUAUUGUUUUGGGGUUUGUCAUUUACAGCCAAACCUAAUCCUCAUUAAAAUAGUGGUGGAACUGGAAUUUGAACCAGUUUACUCCCAAGACCAAACUUAACCUCUUU